AAGACCUUUGCACUUUUGGAGCGGCCGAUGUCUGAUUAGCUAGUUGGUGGGGUAAUGGCCUACCAAAGCUUCGAUCCAGUAGCUGGUCUGAGAGGACGGCCAGCCACACUGGGACUGAGACACGGCCCAGACUCCUACGGGAGGCAGCAGUGGGGAAUUUUGGACAAUGGGCGCAAGCCUGAUCCAGCCAUGCCGCGUGAGUGAAGAAGGCCUUCGGGUUGUAAAGCUCUUUCAGCCGGGAAGAAAAGGUUGCGACUAAUAAUCGCAAUUCAUGACGGUACCGGAAGAAGAAGCACCGGCUAACUACGUGCCAGCAGCCGCGGUAAUACGUAGGGAGCGAGCGUUAAUCGGAAUUACUGGGCGUAAAGGGUGCGCAGGCGGUUUUGUAAGUCAGAUGUGAAAUCCCCGGGCUUAACCUGGGAACU
rnacentral:rRNA from 1 species